rnacentral:lncRNA from 1 species
GGUUGUAGAAGAACUCUCAGCAUGACAAAAAGAUCUAUGGAGAUACCUCUCAAAAUCGUGCUGUGGCUAAAAUGCAUGAAAAAAUCCAAAGUAAAGGAUCAUC